AAAAGAAGUCUUUACAGGGAAGGGUCAGGGGUGGCUCCCCUUGCGCUGAGCACUGCGGUGAGGGUUAACGAGAGACAACUGGGCCGCGUGUGUUUGUCGGCUUGCGCGCCUUUGGUGGGGGGAACUUCGUGCCGGCAUUUAUCCUCUAGGCUGGGCAGGGAAGCGUAAACUGCCUCUCGGAGAAGGGAAGGAGGGUUGUGGGGGUGACUUCAGGGUAGCAACAGCUGCAUGAGCAGCAGAUGCUUCCCCUUUCUGCCUGGCUCCUUAGCUCUCCUUCCCAGGGAAGAGGGAGAACGUGGCUCUUUCUGAGGCUGAGUUCAGCUGUCACAUUUGUGCCUCUUCUCUCAGUGUGUAUGUGCGUGCGUGCACACACACACACACACACACACACACACGGGGUGGGGUUGCUUUUUUGGGCCUGGACUGAUGUCUUUGAUCUGUGUGUCCAACUGUCAUUUCCAAGUGUCAUUUCCUGCCAGUGCAGAUCACCUUCUAAAAAGGUGGCAGGAGCCCUGGAGAUGGCCUAGUGGCGAAGGACUGGAUGACUGGCCCUGCCAAGCGUGUCGCCUCAUGUGACUUAUGGGAGGCCCUCGGUCAGGUCCUGAUCUUACCCAAACCCUAAAUUACGGUGCUAGGUAAUAAGUAUUCUGCAGAAGUGGUGGGAGUGAGUGCACUGCUCGCAAAAUGAUAUUGUUCGGGAUGGGGGGUGAGCGAUGGUGGUGCCCUUCAUAACUCCGGUGGCCACUGACUGGAAUUGAUAUACUGUAUCCCGAACUGGGGACAGCAGGCUUGGGCCUGGAGGAUUUGAUGUUCACACACAGGCCUGUCUUGCGUAAGAGGUGGGGCAGGCUGAUUUCCUGAAAGAACGCACAUUUAGAGGGAACAGGAACAAAUUUAGAAAUGCUGCGACAACAAGCCAGGCAAUAACACAGCUAAAACUUCCUAAGCACCUGUCUUCUGAGAAGCUGCCCUCAAAUUAAGCAGACAAUAUUUGCUGUCAUUUGUAGCCCAAAUCACUUCUUCUGGUGCGCAGGCUGCAAACAUGCUAGCCUUUCUCGUUCCAAAUUGAGGUGAUGUUUCUGCCCUUGGGAAAAGGAAAGAAAUGUACAUUCAAUAUACUGAUGUAGGCUAUGUGUUGUCAAAAUAGUUUGACUGACUGAGCAGGGCUGUCCCAUGUCGUUUUGCUUCAUGAGGCAAGAACGACAAAGUGGUGCCCCCCUCAUUCCACACAGAAGGGCCAACAGGACCGGAAGCUGAAUAUUACUUCAACAGUAACAAUGGGGCAGUGUCCUCCACUUCGCCUGAAGGUGGCAGGGUCACUUAUGCGGCACGAGGUCCUUUUUGCUGCUUUCUGCCAAGGCAGCCACCUCACUCUGCCUAACGGUAGGGCUGGUCCUGUGUUUACAUUUUAAAACUGAACUGUGGAGGUCACUCCUUGUGCUGGAAAUGUCACCUUGGCUCGCAAGUAAGCUACAAGACGCUUCACUGCAAAAGAGUCUUUGGUCCUUUGCUUAUUCAGCUUUCUGUGUAUGACACUGCAACGGAGGGAGCCUCCCAGCACGGUCUCCCCCGAAUCCACUCCAAUUCCUUUAACACUGGGAACAUCUCUGCAGUGUCGUUGCACCAGGAGAACGAAUUAAUAUGUAUGACCCAGUUAUGGGUGAGUGGCUGACUUAGAGGCUUCCCCAGCAGAGCUGUGAGCUCAAAUCUGUGUCUUAGCAGCUGUGGCACGCUGGGGCAGUAGAGGCUUGCUUGACUUAUUCCUCCUCUUGCAUGGCAUACCCUGCCAUGCAAAUAGCACCCUGGGCUUCCUUUAUCCAGUGGGCUGAUGCUGGGGCCUCUGGGGCCAGAUGCCCUUUGAUGUGCCUGUGCUGCUGAGUCCUGUAUGUGGGUUUGGCGAACAAAUUAGCUUUGAACCUUGGGUGGCUUUUGAGCGGGCAGCAUGGACGCAGCAUCUCCAUUCAUCACAGAGACCCAGGCUGAAGCUGUAGGUGAUGCCCGGGAGGCAGGCGGUUCUCUCAAGCAGCAGGCACACAUGUCCCUGCCACCAGCGGGCUUGUCCCUGAUUUGCCUAGUACAUGAAUAUUCCAGCUGUGUUGCUCACUUCUUGCUAUGAUCCCAAAGGAAAGUGGAGCGGUGCUUAAACGAUGUAUGCAUGCAGCUGCUUUCUCAUCUAGCCUGUGCUGUGAGGGAUGGAUUAGAUUUACAGGGGUAAUCUCCCUUUCAGGCAAGUGGCAGCCUGCCCAGUUCUGCUCACCAUGGUUCUCAGCCCUGUGCGUCUCCAACCUGGGUAGCACUGCCCAGUCACAUGGAGGGGUCCUCCUGCCUGUUCAUCAGCAGAGGUGACUUAGGGACAGCAGCAAUUCCAGGGACUGAUGCUUUCUCCUUCCUCCCCUCAACCCCCAAGCUGAGCUGAAGGGGGGAGGCUCUGAGGCCGAGCUGUGCUGUGGUUGCCACUGACAGCUGGGUAUAUUUGAGCUCCUUGUUUUCACAGGUUAUCACGUGUUUGCUGUAAAAAUGGGAUUAUGGCUCAGGUUGUGAUUACGGCUUCUCUACAAUAACGUUAACAAGGGCUGUUGAAUACUUUCAAUUAUUGUAUGCAGGCAUCAUUUUUUAAUCUUUUGCUGCCUGGACUACUAUGUGCCGGCGAGGGACUGCUUCUAGCCAGAGACUGUGAUUUGAAUCCAUCCUAACGUAUUUUGCUUUACACUGUGGAGGGAAAUGUGUUCAUGGGCACGGGGGGGCUAGUUUGUAACUUGCUGCAGGUCAGAACAUUUGUUCUCUGAGACCUGAGUAUAUUGCAUCACUCACACCUAGAGGAAAGUUGGUGAGCAGUGGAGAGGAGUUGGUCUUGGUACUCUUUCUAGGUUUGUGGAGGAGAAAUGUCUUUCUCCCCCGUUCACUUUGGCGAUUGCUUAAAGGUAAAGGGACCCAGUCCAGUCGUGACCGACUCUGGGGUUGCGGCGAUCAUCUCGCUUUAUUGGCCGACGGAGCCGGCAUACAGCUUCCGGGUCAUGUGGCCAGCAUGACAAAGCCGCUUCUGGCGAACCAGAGCAGCACACAGAAACGCCGUUUACCUUCCCACUGUAGCGGUACCUAUUUAUCCACUUGCACUUUGACGUGCUUUCAAACUGCUAGGUUGGCAGGAGCUGGGACUGAGCAACAGGAGCUCACCCCGUCGCGGGGAUUCAAACCGCCGACCUUCUGAUCGGCAAGCCCUAGGCUCAGUGGUUUAACCACAGCGCCACCCGCGUCCCUGGCGAUUGCUUACAUCUGAGAAAAUGUAGAUUUGUGUGUAGCCUGGGUGGAGGGAAGGGGGUUCCAUGCAGAGCAUGCUGCCGUUUUGGAGACUCAAAACAAGCCUGCUGUGUCUCGUCUUAGUGCACUUGUAGGACAGUCGCUUCUGAAAUCAGCAGCUGGCUCUCCUCUGCUGGCCCGCUUGUUUACAGGGCAGCUAAAUUUAUCCAUAUUUGCAUGGGAGUUGGUUGCUCCAGCCAAAAAGGAAGCGAGGCUACCCUUGCAAAUGUAUGCAACUCGCGUAAUGACAAGAAUUCCCCCCAGAAAGCUUUCAUGGGACGUCUCUGAAUCUACGGGGCUCUCACUGAACAUUCUCACUGAUCCUAUCCACGAGCUUUCAGGACGCGCUGAACAGAAAAUAGCUUGGCUGUCCUGGGAGCUGGGGCUUACGAGGCCUCUGUAGAGGUGCCUCCCACUCUGAUGGCCCAAUGCAGACAGCCAGGCUCUGAAACAGUUAACAAAUUCCUCUGCCCUCUCCUAACUUAUGUCAACUUGACAACACAGAGAAAGAAAGAAGCAGCUGUGUGUGUACUCAUGCAGUGAACACCACAUCCUCUGUCGCACAUCUUUCCUCCUAGUUGGGUGGUUGCUCCACUUCUUUGUUCCUCUUCUUGGGUGUCACGCAAGCUCAACUCAUCCCUCCCUCCCGUUUUGCCCUUCCUUCAGUGUGGCUUGCCUUGCCCAUGACUGACCUUACUUUGCCCUUGCUGCCCUUCUCUCCCCUGUUCAUGGAGGUUUUUCAUAGCCCAGGGAAGGGCUAGGCAACUGCAGGGUUCAUCCAGCUGUGCACAGCACACACACACACACCCUUUAAAGCUCCACCUCGUCGUCUUUUUUCACCUAGUUUCCUGCGCUUGGCUGUUUUGCUCUAUCGGUGCAGACUUUCGCCCUCUAGGCUGCCUGCUUUGCCAGAAUGUAAGCAUGCAAGCCUUUUGCACCCUGCUUUUUGUUGGUUUGCAUUCAGUGGGCAUUUCCUUGCCUGCUGGCUUGGUAAUAAAAUCUCCAGGCCUUGGACGCACAAACAGGGCAUGAGAUGGUAUCGUGUUUCAUCCAAUUGCUGCAGGACCCUGUAUCCUUUUAGGGCAGCUGUUGUGUGUCCCCCUGACACAUAGCAGCUGCCCACCAAAAAUGCAGAUUCAGGGAUGCAAGUGUCCCAUUCAGUGUGUGCUAGUCGUUUAACGUCGAAGUACCUCUGUAGGGCAAUAGGACUGCAAUGGGGUGUGGCUGUGCAGCCUUUACAAAUGGCUCAGGGCUCCAUCCAUAGUUUCUCAAAUUUUCACUCUCGCUACGGAUUUCCCUUGGAGCUGCGUAGGAAGACAGGCAGCUUGCGGUUGCCCAGUGCUUAUAACCUUGUUGCCAUAGGUAUGUUGCCCUUGCCAACAAGGAAAUACAUCUGCACACUUUCCUUUGUAUUCUGGAGCCCGGUUUGCUUUGAAAGAGCUUACUUUUUAAAGGCUCGUUGAUCUCAAGGGAGCUUGAAAUGGAUGCUUUAGAGCCAGCAGGUGGUGCUCAAGUCUCCCGGCUGGAGGCUGCUAUCCCACUGAAUCCCAACACUGAGCACUUCCAGUAAUCCCCUGUGGUUUUAACCUGUGGGGGGCAGGGGCGGUAUUGUUUUCAUGAUGCCCUAUGAUUAAUCGGAAGCAGCUCUGAAGAUCAGCGUGUUUAUUCUCUGGCUUUUAUUAAGCAAAAUGCUUUGAGAAUGCAUCUGCUCUGAGAACAGUGAGGUGAAUUGGUCCUCUUGUGAGAGAGAUGCCCAGCACACACCAUGGGAUUUUGGGGAGGAGGCGCGCUCGCUUGUGAUGUUGCAGCUGGCGAUCCUUGAAUUCUGCUUGGCUCAAAUGAGGAUAGUAUAAGUAGAACCAGGAGCACCAAAAAAGGUGACAUGGGUACUUGAGUCUCAGGAACCCCACCGCUGUGUGCUGUCUGCGGUGUACAGGUAAAAAGUUAUCACAUGGUUUGACUGCCUCUUGCAUCUAGUUCACUUGCAUUCAUGUAUAUUCUGAUUGGUUGUGUGAGGGGGAUGGGUGGCUGUUGCAGAAUUUAAAUGCUUCUGGCUGGCAGGAGGGGAAUGCAUAGUGUUAAUAAGGAAACAGGUUUCUUAGGAAGGUGGAUAGGGAGCUGGGUUAAGUACCCACAGAUCUUGUGGUCACGUGACUGGAGGCGUCUUUCCAUUCACCUCUUGUCUUUAAGUUCUUGCUGGAGCUACUAACACACUUCCCAAAGGUGUUUGAUGCUCAGAAAGGAUAGGAACUUGAUUUUUUGCUUUUAAAUGAAUCAAUGCAAAACUUGUGGUUGCCAGUGAUUUGUGUUAAGAUAGUUCUGGAUACUCAGAUCUGUAUGGAAAGUGAUUGCUCAGUGAAGUGAUGGUUUUGUAGAUACAAGCUGCUUUGGAACAAAGUUAGUUUGCUUGGUCAGCACAUUCACUGCGGAACUUGCUCUAGAAGUGAAACAGAUGUGUCUGUCCUUUGCUCUCAUGCUGGGGGGGGGGGCAGGGGUGCUGGUGGAAUGUUGCUGAGGGUGCAGCUUCUCUCUUGGUUCGCAUCACGGCAGAGGCCCCGAAUGAUCAAAACGGCAUUGUCCUGCGUUCGACAAGCUGAUGCUUGGCCAGACAUGGACAAAGGGAAAUACGCAGGUUCCAAAUAACGGGCUCGUUUGGGGUGGCUUCAGGCUUCCCAUCCCUUCCCAGGAGUCUCCUAUUUCCUCCCAUGUUUGGUCUUAUUUCUGUGAUUUCAGGACAGUAUUGCUAGCCUUGCGUAUUCCUCACUCUUUUCGGAAGCUCCCGUUCUUCCUAUCCACCCACUGAGUUGUACUGCUGACGUAUUGGGAAAGAUGCAAACAUUUAUUUCAAGGCUAUGAAACUCCUAAAUGAAGAUGGUGCCCAGGCUUCUUCACUAAAACAGCAUCAAAACAAAAGCAGGAGAAUCUGUUUUCAUUUUUUUUAAGAACUUGUUUCCAACUCUCGUUUUUUGUGUGGAGAAAAAGUGAAUUCCAAAGGCUGAAUAGCCACAAUGUUCAUUGGGUGGGGAGGCUGCGAGGAGAGUCUUCCUAGAGAUAAGGAUUUUUACAGUUCUGCCUUUCCCUUCUUCAGGGGUCCUAGAGUGUCCCUGCCCCUGUUCUCCCCUUCUCCCCACCACACACAUUGAACUGUACCCCAGAAACCUUUCCUUUCUCCCUUCUUCCACCACCCCAUCCUGCCAAUGAUGUUUUCCUCCAGGGAUCCAGAUUUUAGUAAAUGAAGCAAAUCGGAAAAUCAAAUGCAAGCCGAUGUGAAAUGCAUUCUCAUUGCAAAACAUGACUUCUGCAUUUGCUAAAAUCUCUACUGUUAUGUGUGAUCAGGGCACAUCCCCCCUUGUUUGCCCCCUAGACCUGGGUAGACUUGACUUGUGCAAAGGUCCAGACAGGUCAGAAAAAAGAAACCCCACGUUUGCAAUGUCUAUGCUUUCUAGCUUGUCACUGCCUAGCUUCUGUCUCUCUCUCUGUGUGUGUAUGUGUAUUUCCCCCAGGCAGGUGGGUCUGAGUGCCUGAGCUUCCUGUCCCAGUCUGGAGCAGAUUGGCUGUGGCACUAAUCGUACUGCAUAAAGGAUUACCGGCCACCAGGAUUAAAGGAUUUCUGUAAAAAGAGCUGAGGAGGAAUGGGGGAUGGGCUGCUGCAAGAGCUGGGAGGACAUACAUGACUGGCUGAUGGGGAAGGGAGUGAGGUUGGAAGGUCUUUGGCUGAGGAACCAAGGUACUUGUAGGCCACAGGCGAAAUGCAUGGCUGCUGCUCUCUAGAGCUGGAAAAGUCCACCAAUGACCUAACCCAGGGCAGUCCAACCUCUUAGACCAAGUGGGCCACAGGAGUACUUCAACACAGAACCCGGGGGGCCGCACCCUGAAUUAAAUUUCCACAUUGUUAAUUAAAGCAUUUGCAAUAUGGUCAAUGCUAUUUAAUAUACACAAUUAAUACAUGUUAAGGGUGAGCACUCCUAAACAUUAUGAGACCAGCUCCCAAGUAAGUAUGCGUUGAAUCAGGGCAGGUUGCUAGGCUGCGAUCUGUAGGACAGGGUUUCGACUCCGUGCAAGCUGACCUGGGAUAAAGCCCUGCUCAGGUCAAAAUGCAGCGCAAGACUAAUGUGUGCCUAUUCACAAGCAAAUGUCGUUAAUUUCAUUGAGACUUACUCCCAGAUAAAAGCAGACUGCGCAGGGCUGCAGCCUUAAAAAAUAUACAUGGAGGCAUUCAGCUGUCUUAAUACCAGUGCGGGGGAAAUACCUCUCUCACAUUAAUACGGUGUCAUUGCUAUAAUUAUUUUGUUGUUGCUUCUAUCCCGGGCAAAGUUAGAGGGGAGGAGGGGGGUGGCUGGCCUGUUUGGCCUUGCAGAGGCUGGGGGAGACACAAGAAGUGCCUUUGCAGUUUCUUUCCGCAUGCCCGUCACAGCAGCAAUGACUGACUUAGCCGGCUAUUCGAGCCGCACUAAGAAGCCCUGAAUGUUGCCAAGGGCUGCCCAAAAGCUGUUUCAAGGGCUGCAUGUUGGGCCACCUUGAUCUACCCCUUGUGUGAACUAAGGACAGCUUUUACGCUCCAAGCAGCAGGCAUUGAGCUUCCCAGUGGGUGCUUCUCCCACUUUUAAUUAUGCCCCCACCCCACCCCCAAAACUGGAACUGAGUUUAGGGAGCGGAGUGUGUGUGCACAAGGUGGAAAAAGAGCAUUUGCAGUAUCGGCAGGCCUGGGAGGGGUUGCACACCCGUCCCUCCCACUGCCUUUUCUCUCUCUUGCAAGCCCCUUAUCCUCACCUCCACAUUCAGGUUAUCUCUCCGAAAGUGGCUUUGGGAAUGUGUGUUUGCUGAGAUUAACCCCAGUGUAGUUUUCUCGUUUUAAAUGUCAAGAAUGAUGCUCCACAAGCCUCCCAGUGGGCCUUUGAACUAUACAAUAUAUAGGAGUGCUGCUGAGGGAUGAGAAUUAUUGGGUGGUUCUUGUUUUUAGUUUUUAUUAUGUAUUUUGUGUUUUUAUAUUGUGAUUCUAUGUUGUGAAGCCCUGAGACCUGUGGGUAUAGGACCGUAUACAAAAAAAAUAGUAAUGGGUAUGGAGACCUUUGCCGGCACUUCCUAAAAAAGCACACUCCCAGCAAUCCUUCGGCUUUUCAACUGGCCUCAAACCAGUCUAUGUUGUGUAUCUGCCACGUUUUGGAAGCCUGUGUCCAGGACAUGGGGAGUGGGUCACUUCACCUGUGGGACGCUUUUGGAGCAAAUGCCUGGGCCUCAGUUCUCAAGCUGUAAAAUGACAGUGGCCAGGGUUGUAAGGUUGCUGGGAGGGCGACUGAUGUGCACACACAAAAAUAUGGAACAGGUUUCAAAUGCAAAUUCUAGUUGUUGAGAUGGGCUCUCAUUUCCUCAAAUGUCUCCUGUAGUCUCAGGAGGAGUGCUUGUGCAGAGUCCUGCUUGUUGAGUGGCGUACCUUCCACAACACCUGGGAGUAGUGAGGUCCAGCAUCUUAUCAAAUGUACUGGUCACUGAGGGCAUGCUAUAUGGGCUGGAUGCCUUACUGAAUGAUGACGUGGUUCCUAUAUCCUUGGAGGCAGCAGUGAAAUCUCUGUUAAAUGAAUGAAUGUCAGAUCUACAAAUCUUGAACUAUCCUCCAAUCCCUGAUAUAUCAUUUCAUUUAUAUUUAUUUAUCAUGUUUAUAUUCCCCUCCUUUCCUCCAAGGAGCCCAAGGUGGCAUACGUAGUUCUACUUUCUGUUUUAUCUUCUCAAUAAUCACGUGAGGUUAAAACAAACUGGCCCAUGGUCACCCAGUGAGCUUCAUGGUUUAAUGGGGAUUUGAACCCUAGUCUUCCAGAUCCUAGUCCAACACACUAACCACUACAUCACACGGUCUCUUUGAUUUUUUUAGUCAAUUAUUAGAACAUGGGAUGGCUUCCCAACUCAGCAUGGCCGUGGGCAAUGCUGAUUAUUUGGAUCCAUUUCAACCUGUCUUCAAACAUGGGUUUGGGACAGAACAGCCUCUGUUUCCCCAGUGGAUUGCUUCCAUAAGGGAAUGGCUUGUGAGUGCGUGAGUGCGUCCCUGUUGGUUCUUUUGCAGCUCUUAGUGGCUUUCAACAUCGAUGGCCAUGGCAUUCUUCUGCGCCAUCUUGCUAAGUUGGGCCUGGGGAGGGGAGAGUAUAGGUUAGCACUGGUCCUUUCUGGAAGGUUUUCCACCUAGUUUACCCAUUGUAUGGCAUAGGAUGCUAAAAGUUCAUAUCCCCCAAUGGGUCCUGACCCAAAUAAGGCUACUGUCCCGAUUCUUUAAUCAGCUGCAUAUCGAGGAGAAGCUCAGCAUACAGAGCUGCUUCUUUCACUGCCAGGGGCAUCGCUUGGUACUUAAAGAACCUGGGAAACAGAUCAUGAUGCAGAUUUGCAUAAAUGCACAGUGUGCCUCUGGGUAAAUUAAGAUGGCAAGGCUGUUGGUUGCUAGCACUGCACUUAGCUGCACAGUAAGCAAAGUUUGCUUUUUUUAAUUUAAAAAGGAGGCCGAGGAAAGGGGAUCUGGGGCACAGCACUAAAUUCAGUUCCCCAAGCGGUGCCCCUGGUCUCUGCUACCCUAUAAUGGACUUUACGGACCUUGGCAUGCAGCUGUUCAAGGAACAGGAGCCUUAUUUGGGGCAGAGAGGACUCUUUCCCUGGAGGCAUCGCUCUACUCAUUUGGCUGGCUUGCAAUAAAUGCUCCAGCGUAACAGCUUUGCUUGCUAGCUUCAAUCUGCCAAAACCAGAAACAUUAACUGUUUGCCGUCCCCACGCUUCUCUUUUCACUUACCAGGACCAUACAGUAAUAGGAUGGCUUUUCUGUCCUCCUGUGGGAUAAAAAUUCCCAUUGUCCUUCCACCUGACUUUGGAUUCAGUUCUGGGGGCACAGCGCUUGCCCCAAAGUCUUGUCAUUGCCUAGUUGUGUGCCAGUUCAGAGACUGAAGCAGCAAUGGAUCAAUAUCUGAUGUACAAGCGUUUCAUUAACUAGAGUGGCCUGCUCUUCUUUUUGUAUGUAGGGCUUGUCUGAAAAGAGUUCUUCUUCUCCCUGCCUACUCAUUUGGGGCAGAAGUCAUUAUGGGACUCCUUUAGUUCCCCUUCUGAGUCUCAGGCACUGAAUACAGUGUGAGAACUAGUACCUCAUGAAUGGAGGGCUCAGCCUUGUUAAAGAGCCUUUUGCAACGCUGAUACAGCCCUUUCUUUGAAGUGCCAUCUACUGGGCAAAUCUCAGGAGCGGAUGCCACCCUGCAGUGUUUAUUUUAUUAGGUUUGUAUCUUGAUUCUUCCUCCCCAAGGGAGCCCAGGAGUGCUGUUGUUGUUGUUUGCAUCUGUCUGUCUCGAAAGGCAAUGGAGUGUGCUUCCAGAGGUGAUGUCAAACCAUAGUGACCUCCCCAGGAUGCACUAUGUGACAGUGUGUAGGGAGGGCCUGGUCUGGAGCAUAAGGUAAAUGCAACACAGUUCAAUAAGCCAUAUAUUUCAAAGCACCAUUAAAAACCUAAUAAAAAUAUCAAUAGUUAAUACCUUGAAUGCAGAGAACCUCGGGAUUGAUCUGCUUCUGUCAAGCAACUUAUUACUAGACGGUAUAAAAUCUUCAUGGUGUUAUGAUUGUCUUAGGCACUUAUGCUAUCAGAAUGAAGUUUUGUGGAACACAAACUGAGAAUGGCACAGAGCUUCAGGGCCUGUUGCAGCUCUCCAGAGUACUUGUUGGGUGACAAAGCCAUUAUUUGCUGAUGCGAUCUGCAAAUGGGUUCACAGGGGACUUCCCAGCUAUAAAGAAAAGUAGUUGGUCGUAAAGGUGAAAAGCCAGUUUGGUCUCUUGGGGGUGCUCUAAAGUAGAUGGGGGAUGCUAUCAUAGCAAAGCUGGAAAGUUUAAAACAUACAACAUUUUGAAAACUAUGGGAUGGGGAUGAGCUUUUCUGGAGACUGCCAAGGGAAGUGCCAGCCUUUCAUGGGUAUCCUCUUCUCAGAUUCUGCCUCUUCUGUUGAUUGAUCUGGCUUAUACUUCUCCUGAGCAUCUCCGUCUUCUCUAUCUCUGCUGCUUGCUGUAGUGGAAAGAUGUCUUUUCUCAGAAACUAUGGUUCAUUUUUUCACAAACGGGGAGUUGCCUCUGUGUGUGUAAAAAAAAUCACACAUAUUUUACUUUGGGUUUUGAUUGUCAGGGUCCUGAACCCUCUUAGUUUGUGGGCCAAUUGUUUUGCUUUGCUUUACUGUGGGUAAGAGGCAAUAGAAUUGGAGCCACAGGCUAAGGGAAUUACUUGGUUUGGUUUGUUCCUUUGCUAAUAGAUCCUAAAGCUUAUCAAACUAUUAUGAAAUGGGAUUUCCGUAAACUUUCACUUUCCAGCAGUCUAGCAUUCAGCUGACAGAAGGAACAUUAUGUUGAACUUGCCAUAGAUGAGAAAGCUAGAGUCGUGUGUUUCCAGCAGUACAGUACUGGGGAGAGCUUCCAGAGGGAUAGAUGCAACAAGCUAAUAUAUUAAAAAACAAACAGGAGUCUUCUGGCACCUUAAAGACUAAUUGGGGGAGGGCAUUCUUUCCCUUUUCGCUACACCUUACAGGCUAACAAAUUUUGUUAAGAUACGUUUUUAUGGGCUUCAUCAGAUGCUUGGAGUACGAUCCUUGGUGGUUGAGUAUAUUCACUUGUGAGUUUAAAGGCAGGAAACAUAAAUUUGAAAUCAAAUGGUAAUAUAAUGCAGUCUGUGAUAAUUCAUUUAGAUAUUAAAUUUGCAGCAGCCGUAAUUGAUAAUCUUAGUGUUGUUAAGUAAAUUAACACCUGUAGUGGGAGAGGAAACCAUUGUUUCCAUCUGUUGUCUCCCACCUGGAAACCUAUGUCCCCACUGUGGAAAGAUGUGUGAAUCCAGAAUUGGCCUCCACAGUCACUUACGAACUCAUUGUUAAGACCGUGUUCAUGGAAGACAAUCUUACUUGGCUACAAGUGAUCGCCAAAGAAGAAGAAGAUUUUUAGACCAGCAAUUCCAAGUGAAUAGGAGACCCAGGAAAAGAAUAGUGAUGUUGGGUUUUAGUGGAAACGUAUCAGAUGAACAUGGAAGCUUUUGUGUGCUUGCCUUUUUAAGACAGGGGACCCAUACUGUUAGCUGUCUAAUGUAAGCUUGCUCUUGAAGCAUUUGGCAGACAACGCUAGCACCUGUGCACUUUCUUGCUGCCACAGCUGGGAUGUGCACCUGUGCUUGUGGAGAUAAGCUUGCCAGUUCCCGUUGUGCCCUAUUUCAGCUGCUGUUCAGCUUGGUGCUGCAGGGAUUCUGGCCCCAUUGAAGAACGUGGCUCCUUACGAGCCUCUUGAGACAGAGGGGAGCCAGUUGUGGAAUCAGAAGAAAAAACACAAGGAUGUAAUGAAUCAUGUUUGCUGGACUGUCUUUUUCUUUCUCCAUGAUUUCUGACAGAAGAAAUUUGCAGACCUAUCACCUAACUGGCCGUUUAUGGAUUCCCCAUUAGUCAGGUUCGCCACACUCCUGCCAAUCUUUCCUCUUAAACUCUGGCCAUCUCAGGUUUCCCUGUGUCUUCCAGAAACAGAGUCAUGUAUCUUACCUGCUCUGCAUGUUUCAGGUAGGGCUCCCAGUUCUCGACAAGAGUGCUAAUCUGAGAUUGCUUUGCACAUCCUCGGAGAAGCAGCAAUAGCACCACCUUUGCCAGUGAGACUUCUGUUGCCCUGUGUGCAGCUGAUUAGAUUGGAUUAGAAGUUCAAGGUGGACUGGAAUGUGUUUGAACUUGAGGCUUGUGCCAGUCAAGUUUUCUCUGAGACUGUGUAAUAAGAGAUGCAAGGAAGAAGAGUUCAAACUGAGUUUAUUUGCAGAAGCACAAAAAGGAUGGACCUCUCUGCAGCUUUUUGUGUCUCACCAUAGCCACCAAACGCAGGACAAAACACAAUCUCUUUUAAGACAAAAAUAGUUUUGUGGAAAGCAUAAUGCUGUGUCAAUUCUGUGACACAUUAAACAUUGUUUGUACUCCCUUGCGCAGACAGCAGACAUGGUUUGGAUUUUAUGCAUUACUUUUAAUACAUUGCCAAAGCUUGUUUGGUAAAAUUAUGGCUUCAUACUGUGUUAUAGAAACAGACUUUUUAAAAGCAUGUAGAAGGGGCUAAUGUGCUGCUUUGGGGACAGAUGUGUAAAUCAGGCUUGUCAUGAUCCCCAGCAAAGUAAAAGACAGCCAGUAGCCCUGUCAAAAGGGAAAUAGCCAGUCACUGUCUGUCUUGUCCAAGUUUGUGAGGCCGACCUUUCUGUUCUCAUGGGGGCUAAAAACCUUUUAAGAGAACAGCUGAGAAUUCACCAGCAGUUGCCAGGGCCUCACAGCAGCAACCAGUCACAGCCUGUUUUGCUUUUGAAACCUUUGUAAUUGGGAUCCAACUGGCCAGUGCCUUCCUGCUCAGGUGGAACAUGCUUCUGAGAAAAGGGUCUUACGCCUAGAGAAGUGGUCUUGAACUGCAACCUACCAGCAAGAUCCACAUGGUGCUGCUCCCGACGCUCCUUUUUCUAGAGGGCUGGGAAUCGCGCCGACUCCUUACUCUGCAACUCUUACCCUGCUGCUUCCUUGCACUUCCCAUGCACAUCUAUGCACACAUGCGUCUUUGGCACCUGCAUGCGUUACAUUUCCGUGCACCUUCCUUUUAUGCGCUGGCCGUUGCAUAGCAACCACUAGCUCACAAGAUGCUUAAAGCUGUAAUAAUGCAGCCGGAUAAAACCGACCUAAAAAUACCCCUUGCCCAAACCUCUCCUGGGCAGCUGGGAGGAGUGGCCGGGGAGGAGCUGGGGGGGGGCACCUUGGAAAAAGUUCCCAAACUGAAUUGCCCUCUAAGUGGCUUUGUGCGUCUUUCGUCAGCUGAACAGCUCAGCGGCUCGGAACAGUAAUAGUUUCCUGGCAGGGAGCUGGGAUUGGCUGGGCUCUGUGCAUGGGAGUCUCUGCUGCUCCUUCUGCUCCAGCCGGACUGGGGAUCCCUCUCCUGCCGUGUCUCCCCCCCCCCCCGCCCCCUGCACUGUCUGGAAGAGGGGGAAGUGGAGGCUGCUGCUUGGGAAGCCAUUUGGUGCUGAGAAAGUGGGCACCCAGAGGUUCCAGCGUCUGGCUCCGACCUGCUAGGCCUUUCUCACCUGCCCAAGGGCAGCAACCCCUGCCCAGUCUUGAGAGGGCAUUGCAUCGAGGGCAUCAUCAUGGGCACUGUCGGUGAGCUCUGUGCCUCCAGUUUCCAAGCCUUCCUCUUCCCCUCCACCUUGGUAGCCACCAAGCCAGGUAGGUGCUUUAUAUUUUGCCUCUCCUCUCUAUGUCCAGGAGUGCCUUGUGCUGAUGCUGGGAGAAAUGAGGUGCCGGAAGUUGGGGUGUGUGCAGUUUGUGUAUUGUCUGUGGUGGAGCCAGGAUUACCGUAGUCGUCCUCUGCUAUGCCCUGUCCCUUGCAAGAGAAGCCACAACAGACAUAUUGCACUGGUGUCCCUCUAAGCGAAGGUUGCUUUUGAAAGACGCAAGGGGCACAGCUUCACUGCCUUUAGCUAUGAUGUUGCUUUCCUCUUGCUGAGAUUUGGUGCACCGAUGUAAAUGUAACCUUAUCCGCUGGAGUUCAUAAAUACUGUACACAGGUGACCGAAAUGCUUUGGAAUGAGGAGCUUGGGAGAAUCCAUCCUGCUGAUUCCUUGGCUCAGGAACCAGUCUAACCUCUGUUGUACAGGUGGAAGGAAGAGGUGGCAAUUGGUUCACAGCCUUGUGUUUGGUUACAAUAAGGCUGAACCCAGUUCUGUGUUUUGAUCCCCUUGGCAAUCUGUUUCCUCACAUGCUCAGAUUCAAAGUGGAUACAAGCUCCAGUCCAUUUCGCGGGCAACCUGCUCUGCUAGUCAUAGAAUCAUAGGAUUUGUAGAGCUGGAAGGGACAACGAGGAUCAUCUAGUCCAGCCCCCUGAAAUGCAAUACCUCAAGGACUGGCUCUCUCCAUGUGAACCUACCCGGACCCUGAGAUCAUCCUCUGAGGCCCUGCAAGUGGUCCGGGGGGUUGCAACAUGAGAACGGGCCUUUUCUGUAGUGGCUCCCCGUUUGUGGAAUGCUCUCCCUAGGGAAGUUUGCCUGGUGCCUUCAUUAUGCACCUGUAGACGCCAGGCAAAAACGUUCUUCUUCAACCAGGCCUUUGGCUGAGUAUACCCUUUUUAAUGUGUUUGUGGGAAGAGGUGAGGGAGGAGGGUUUUAGUGUCGUCAUCUUCUAUUAUGUACAGUAUUUUGUGUUUUUUAUCUUGUAUUUUUAAGUUGUAAACCAUCCUGAGAUCUACAGAUGAAGGGUGGUAUACAGAUUUAAUAAAUAAAAUAAAUAUUUUGCCCAACAUGGGGUUUGAACCCACAACCCUGAAUUUAAGAGCCCCAUGCUCUAGUGAUGGGGAUGUUCUCCCAGUGUCUGCACAUUUUCUGAAAGAGUCAAGUGUGCUAACUUCAUACAUGUUGUGGUGUGUGUGUUUUCCACAUAUUCUUGUGAAGAUUUUUUGAAAUUAUUAUCUGAAAGUAGCUUUUCAAAAGUGUGUGAGAGCAGAUCAUUAUUUUGCUGAUGCCUAGCAAUGGGGUUGUGGCUGUGACCUCUUUUUGACCUCACUAGAGGAAGAGCAUAUGCUAUAUUUGUCGUAGUUGUUGAUGAUGUUGCAUUUAUAUCCCACCCUUCCUCCAAGGAGCUCAAGGUGGUUUACGUGGUUCAUUUCCCCCUCUCUAUUUUAUCCUUACAAUAACCCUGUGAGGUAGGACAGACUGUAACUGACCCAAGGUCAUCCAGCAAACUUCAUAGCUGAGUUGAGAUUUGAACCCUAGUCUCCCAGCUCUAACCACUGCAUCACCUGUAAUGGGUCACAAACUUCGGGCUGCCAGUUUGGUGUCUGCCUUGUGGAAUAUGAUGAAUGGAAAGGACUGUGUUAUACAAAGGCGGCGGCUGAGGCCUAAGGCCAAUUCCAUUCUCAACCCUGUUUUCACAUUUAAAAUAAAACACCCUAUGAACUGCCUUACUGGAGAAAGAACCUGACUCAGGCAGCUUAUAGUACAGAGCCAGCAACAAAAUCUGGUAACCCUGGAAGGGGGUUUGAGGGAGGGAAUGUGUGCCUAGACCUGCAUACUGAAUGCAACAGUCAUGCAACUGUUAAACAAACUACAGUUUCCACCAGUAUGGAAAACUGACAGUGGGCAACAUUUCACCUGUGGAAUGAAUGUCUGCCUGUUGCACAGAGCCUCUACUAAGGAAAAACUAGCAAGCUUAGUAUGUACGGGCACUUGAUGAGACGGGUUUGUUUUCUGUCUCUUCUUCCUUGCUGUGUGACAACAGGAUGGGUGGAGGGGACUGAUUUGUCUGAUGAGGGUUUGUGGUUUUGGGUUGGCGGGGAGGCUGGCAGGCCAGAUAGAGUGAUCCAGGAUUAAAGCCAUUUCACAGUAUGAGACUGUUUGUUCAGGUACAGAGAGAAUAUAGCAGCCUUAGCACUGAAGCCUGUAACAUUUAGUUCUCCGGUUCAUUGGCUCAGCCCCAGGUUCUGCUACAGGCCUUACAUUCUGGUAUUGAAAGUUGUGUUGUAGACGAGUCCAGUACUUGGACCCAGUGAGUAGUUCUUGUGAGUUCAGUCUAGGGACCUGCAGCUGUAAAGGACAACUUAGGUGUCUUUCCAACAAUUUUCAGAACCUGAUUUUCCCUUUUUAAAAAAAGAGAACAAGUUUCUGCCCCCUAGUAUUUAUGAAAGGCAGUGUGAAUACAUGGAUGGAUUCUGCAUAAAACCUAGCCAGGGAAUAGGACUGUUUCAGACCCUUCCCAUCACCCCAGUCCUUGUUAUUUCUUGGGUCAACAAAUCUAGUUUUGCUGUUUCCUUGCUCAGUCUAACAUAGGGUUGGUACACUGGUAGUUGAUUGCCUAUUUAUUUGACCAUUGUCAUAUAUGUUUGAAUAUUCCAUGAAGGCAAGAAUACCACCCGCUUAGGUGGCAGAUUUGCUUUUUAUUUCAUUAUGAGUUUCAGUUGUUGAUGAGGACUGCUUGCCCCUGUAGUGGUCAAAGGAAAAGCCUGGCAACAUAGAAAACCUUUUUCCUACCAACACCCUGCUACAAUUGCAGCUAUCUCCAAACAGGAAUGCAAGUUGUUUUCAUUGGCAAAGGUUGUUAUUUUAAUUGCAUUGUAAAACCGAACAAACAGCAAUUGUAAGCUGACCCUGGAGUUUUAGGAUAAAAAACGAAGAAUAAUCUUUCAUUGACUUGUUCACAUAUAUAGAAACCAUACUUUGCAUUAAUUCAUUAGCAGCCUAACUUUUUGGGGUUGGGAAGUUCAAAAACACAGUGUCAAAAAUCCUUGGUAGUCUACUGCAUGUCACUUAGACCUACUAGUAAAUCCCAAUCUAGCUUCUGUCUAGUACUGUUCCAGAUGAUGCCUACCUGCAACUUCCACCAGACCCAGGCAACAUGGCAGUGGUCAGGAAUGAUGGGAGCUGCAGUCUAGCAUUGUCUGGAUGGGCAUCAUGUUUAUUCUGGAUGGGCAUCAUGUCCAUUCUUCUUAGGCAUUCUUUUGUAGGACCAAAAUAUCAACAGCUGUCUGAAUUUCUACCAUGCAGCCUGGCAGUAGGCUAGAUACUGCAGAGUAAUGGCUGGCAGCCUGCAAGCUCUUGCCAAACUGGGAGAGGAAUUCUGCCAUCGCCCAGUGGCUUACAAACAGGGCACAGCUGCAGUUUGUCAUGAAGUAUGUGAGGGGGAACCCAAGGGGCUGGUUGUGUUGUUCCCUCCACCUCUUCAGACGUUGGGGAGAGCCGUUUCCCAUAUGGCUGCUAGCUCCAUCCCCAACAGUCAAACAGAAGGGGAUUCUGCCUUGGCAGGAGCUGGGAGGAGGAAACGGAAGCCAGAUGGUGUCCAUGGAAACGAGGCCUGUACUCUGCACAGCCAGGUGGCUCCAGGCAAAGCAUGGCUGGGGCUGUUGUUAUGCCUCAGCUGUGAGCAAAGAGGAGUGGGGCGAUGGGCCCUGGGUGUGUGUCUGCCUCUUAAAUGUGAGGAUUUGGUUGUACUUCUGCAAAAGUAAUGGGCCUGGCAGACUUCGAAAUGGAGUCCCUUUCCUGGCAGCACUGAAGCCUUACUGUAUCCGAUGCAGCAAUGAGAGGCAACUGUCAUUAGGAAAACAGGAUGUGGUCGCAGUAGCAGCUGAGAGCAGGAACUUCUUGAACCCAUUUGUGCCUGGCAACUUGGAGGAGACAGGCAAAAGUUUGUUGACAGCCGGAUCUUGUCAGAAGCUAUUUAAACUAGAGGAGCACUCCAAAGUUUCUUAAUCUAGGAACAGCUUUACAAAAACCAUUGUACCCUCUCUCCCUAGCUAGACCAGGUCUUUCAGCUCAAAUGCCACAUUCCCUCAGGGGCAGGCUGCAUACUGGUAGUAGACAGGAAGAUGUUGGCACCUCCAGAGGCAAAGCUGGGUAGGGCUGUGGGUGCGAAUUUUCCCUUUGCAUGAGAAACCGUGCUAAAGCCGGAGGUUUCUAUGCACAGGUACCUCUUGCCCAUGCUAGUAUUACCACAGCAGAGGACAGCUUCCAGUCAGGCAAAAUCGCUCCAGGCUGAUUUAGAGCAGGGGUCCCAAACUGUGACCUUUGAAUCGCUGGUGGUCCGUGAGCUUCAUCCCAAGUGGUCUGCAGCAUUUCUGUGGAUUUGCAGUUGAAGACGGCAGCUGGCAAGUCCAUCACGUUAAAUACUCCUAUUGAUUUUUAACAGCUUUUUUAUUGCUCCUUUUAUUAUAAUAUUGUGUUUUUAUUGCAUUGCAAUUUGAAUUCUUUGAAAUGCAGUAAAAUACAACUUGUAAGAAAUAAAAGAAGCAAUAGAAAUACAAUUGCUACAGCAGGCAGGAAAGUCAGUAAGUGGGCCACCAAGAUGCCCCAUAUCCUGUGUGGGAUAUAAAUAGGGAACCACUGCUGCAGAGUGUGGCCAGUGACAGGUGUGGUCUGAGGAGAAGCCUGAGGAAUGGGUAAAGCGGCCCAGAAAACCGCAUUUGUCCCCCUCCACUGUGGACUGAAAUACCCCACCCCUCCUCUAGGCAUACAGAUGAGGUCCCCAACUGCAUCAUACAUUUAAAGCAGGAUCAUACCACUUUAUACAGUUGUGGCUUCUCCCAAGAAUCCUGGGAACUGUAGCUAGUUGAGGGUGCUGAGAGUUGUUAAGAGGGCCAAUAUUCCCCUUACAGAGCUACAGUCCUCAGAGUGGUGGUUUAACAGUUGAUCACUCUUCCCAGGGAACCAGAAGGUUUAUUCAUUAACUUCUGAUUCGAUUCUUGAACUGUCUGGGAGCAACUUUUUGAAUGGCUCUGCAGCUGAGCUGUGUAUGAUUUCCUCAGCCACAGUUUGACCACUUCUGGUUUGCCACCGAGUUUGGGGAGGUGUGUCUUACAAAGCUUCGUUCCAGCCAGCUCCGUUGUGUGGAGUGAACUGGAUGAAGUUUUGGGGCAGAUUGGGAAUGUGAAGAAUAAUGAUGGAGAAGACUUGGAGCAUCACCAUGUCCCUCCUUUCUAAGGCCCACAGGGAGAAAAUGUGUUAUUGUAUUUUAGGAAUCUCUGCAUUUGCUUGACUUACUAAUUGGCACUCUAUUGAGCCAAGGCUUUCCCACCUAUUCGCUUAGUCUGGGUGCCCUCCUGUCUGCCUUGGGGCAGCUGUCUGGGUAUGAUGCUUUCUUUUAAAAUGUAAAAUCUGGGACUUGCCCAGCAAAAAUUGCAGGGUGAUUUUACAGUGAUUCACAUAUGUGCUCAGACACAGCUUGCAGAAGCCCUAGAGUGCAAGGAGCAAGCUGCAGUCAUAUAGUUACUGGACCAUAAAUAUGUGUAAUUGCUUUUUGCAGUCUGGGGUAGAGGUGGUAGCAGAGAGAUUAUUUGUAAUGGUUCAUGAGUUUGUUUUCAGGAAGGAGUUCUCUCUGCAGUCCUCUACUGGCUUGAUGGGUUAAAAGACAAAUGUGACCCCCGCUUGGGCCAAUGCCUUUUUAUUAUCAGCAGAGGGCAGCACAUGGCCAACUCUUAUCUGUACUGUUCUGUUAACACACUUCUCCAAGUGCAUUUUCGGUGGUGAAAAAGUGUGCAUGCAAAUACAUGCUUCCUUGGGGUGUGUGUACUGAAAAGCAUUGAAAAAGUGCGUAUUUUACACAACAGUGUGAAUUUUACACAUAAAGUGCUCACAAAAGUGUGUGCAAAUGUCUCCAACAGACCUAUGAAUGCCAGUGAAGCCUAAACUGGAUGGAAUUAGCUGCCCUUUACUUUGGCUUGGCUUUGAAUGGCAGGAAUGGCAUUUUCAAGACCACUUGAAAAUGGUAGAGGGUCUUGGUGGACCGCUUCAAGAUUUUUCUACCUGUUGUUGCAAUUGUAACGUGCUCUGCUAGAUUCCGUCAUGUCACAUGUUCAUUCCCAGUAAUGUUCUUAUCCUCGCAAUUGUCUGUAAUGCUUUUCUGCUUUUGUUUGAAAAGAACAUAUAUGUGCUAUGCUGGGUGCUGCAUGGUUUUUAAUUGUAUUUUUAUUGCUCCUUUCAUUAUAUAUUGUAUUUUACAGCAUUUUGAAGACUUCAAAGUGUAAUACAAUAGAACGCAACGUAAAAAUAAAAGAAGCAGUAAAAAUACAAUUUAAAAUCUGUAGGAAUAUUUUAUGUGAUGAAUUUGCUGCCUUCCAUCCUCAGCCACAAAUCCAGACACAGUGCAGACUCCCUGAACGAAGCUUAUGGACUUCAGUUUGGGAGCCCCUGUUGUGAGUAAAUGUCACUCAAAACACCACAUGCCACAAAUGAAGAAUAGUUACCAUGCUGGGGCAUGUUGAAUUUUUAAAGUUUCAAAUUCCAAAAGUAAGGGGUGCUAAAAAAUUGUAACAUGACCUGAGGAUGAUUCAAAAGCUGUUUUCAGGAAUGACUGGGCCUGUGGAUGGUCUAAUAACAGUUCUCCUAGUAGACUAAAAGCAUUUAUAACAUGCUUUUCUUCACUGCAUUAAUAACCCACUUUUUCAAGGUGGCACACUUUGUGGUUCUCCUCUCCUCUGCCCAGCAAGCUUCAAGGGGCUGCACAGAAAUUUCAGCCAGUCUUUUCUCAGCCCUAGUCUUGACUCAGUGGACUACACUGGCUCUGCACUCAAAUGUGCGUAAUACUUUGUGAUUCCCCACCCUUUGCUGCAGGCUUGGGAGGGGUUCUUUCUGUUAUCCCACCCUGCACAGAUCAUGCCAGCUAGUGUUUACAUCCAUCAAGUUGUAGUUUCCUCUUUGCUUCCAGAGCAUGAGGGGGUUAACAGCCCUAUGGAGGCUGAAGGAUCACCACAGGAACAGGGCGUUGCUGGUUAUCUCGGUUACUGCCAGGCCAGGACUGUAAUGACGCCUAUCCUCCAAGGCAAAGGCCACCCAUUGGCUGGGACAAGACCUGACUCAUUCCAGGAAGCCGCAGCCAGACAGCAAGUCAGACUCAGGUGUCUACCCAGCCGAGCAGCACGUAACUGUGGAACGGACGGAGAUAGUGGUCUGCAACAUCUCUCUGCUGCUGGCAACAUGGUGCUCAGGAUGGAGAACGUGCCCAGCGACCUGACCCCUGAGGAGUGUCAAGAACUUGAAAACAUCCGCCGACGCAAGCAGGAGCUGCUGGCAGAUAUACAGCGUCUGAAAGAUGAGAUAGCAGAGGUCACUAAUGAAAUCGAGAACCUGGGCUCUACAGAAGAGAGGAAAACCAUGCAGAGGAACAAGCAGGUGGCGAUGGGCAGGAAGAAGUUCAACAUGGACCCUAAGAAGGGCAUCCAGUUCCUGAUAGAGAACGACCUCUUGAAGAACACCCGCGAUGACAUUGCCCAGUUCCUCUACAAAGGGGAAGGGCUCAACAAGACAGCCAUUGGCGACUACUUGGGUGAAAGAGAUGAUUUCAAUAUCCAGGUGUUGCACUCAUUCGUGGAGCUGCAUGAGUUUACAGACCUCAACCUUGUCCAGGCACUGCGGCAGUUCCUUUGGAGCUUCCGGUUGCCGGGCGAAGCACAAAAGAUUGAUCGGAUGAUGGAAGCCUUUGCACAACGGUACUGUCAAUGCAACCCCGGUGUCUUCCAAUCAACAGAUACCUGUUAUGUGCUCUCGUUUGCCAUCAUCAUGCUCAACACCAGUCUUCAUAAUCCCAACGUUAAGGACAAGCCGACAGUGGAGCGCUUCAUUGCCAUGAAUCGUGGCAUCAAUGAUGGCGGGGACCUGCCCGAGGAGCUACUUAGGAAUCUGUACGAGAGCAUUAAAAAUGAGCCCUUCAAAAUUCCUGAGGAUGAUGGCAAUGACCUGACGCACACUUUCUUCAACCCAGACCGUGAAGGCUGGCUUCUGAAGCUCGGAGGUACGUACCCCCAUAUCCCCUCGCUAGCUUUGCUGGGGCCAGGGGUGUGCUGCCAUGCUUGUUUAUUUUUCUGUUCUUUCGUUAUUUUAAAUUGCUGGUGAUUAUUACUAGUCUUAUCGCUGCUAUUGCCACCGUUGCUAACUGGCUGCACAGUCCAUGGGGAACUGGGGGACAGGUGGGAUGGUGGGUGGGACUGGGGGCGGUGGUGGGAAGGCGGAGCUUCCGUGUCAUAUUUGACCCACCCCUCAAAAAAUUGCCCCAAAGAAGCUUCCCGACAGGGCCAGGUCUGAGCCUGGCAGUAUCUCUCUCUCCAGCUUUGUCAGUACCCUGUAUUGUAGGAGUCAGAAUCACACUGUAGGGCUUGCCGCAGGAUGCAGCAGUGAAGAGCCAGCCUUUUGUCUGCCCCAAAGAGGCAGGGAGGUAACUAUGCCACUCAAGAAGAGGCAGCUCCUCGCGGCAUGGACGUUGCUGUCCAGUAUGCCGCCUUUGCUUGAAAAUAGCAGUGCGGCCGCAUCUCUCUGGGAACUGACACUGAAUCCGGCCUGAGAAGGUACAUAGCCACUGAGCCUGUUUUGCCAUUGCCAAGAAACUCUGUGUGCGCUGCUUAAGACUGGCUGCUUCCUGCUGCAGAAGGCCCAGCAGUGCAGCCACAGCACGUGCACAGCUGCUAUCAUGAAACCAUCCAGGCAUUGGCGAGGCCUUAUUACCAGCCCUGCAGCAAGCAGCUGGCAAACCACGGUUCCUUAUCCCAGCAGGCAUAGCUGUUCAUGGUGGUGGGGUGUUCACGCAUGGCUGCGCUGGUGCUACCUGCACUUGCCCCAUUAUAUUACUGCAGCUCACAUGACAAGCCCCACCUCCUGCCUCCCAACAUGCCCGCAGAACUUUCUAUGCCCCGCUGAAAGCUCUUCCCCUUGGUUCCCCCCCCCUUCCUCCUUAUUUGAGGCUAUGUGCUCAUCUCCUGUCUUAAAACCCUCCCUUGGCUGUUCCCCAGCCGCAUGGCUAACCUCAUCCCCUCCCAUUAAGCGGGAGAGGGGGAAAGCUAGUAUUAAGAGAAAGCCACAUUCCUUCCAUGGAGAAAAUAUCUCAAUUCAUUUCUAUUAAAGUUUAGAACUGCAGAAGCCCGGUUAUUAACGUAGGACAUUUGUCCUGAAGGGCCCUAAGAAUUUGCAGGCAGCAGAAAGAAGGGGAGGCCUCCGUGUAACAAGGACUAAUGGAGUAUUAAUUGUGCUAAGCUGAUGCAUGCUGGCAGCCGCAUGGCAUUGGAGUCCCAGUUGGUAGAGGGAAGAGGCCCAGACAGCUACGGAGGCGCUGGCGGGGACGAGCUGUUAAGAUCUUGAUUGGGUAACGCGUCAUGGUUCUUACCAGUCCAUUUAUAACACUGUAAAUCCUUUCCAAUCCUUAUCCCGCCUAACUCUGCAACAACCCUGUGGAGUAGGUCAUUGCUUCCAUUUUUUAGAGUAGGAAGGUGGAGGUGGAGACGGGGCCUUCGCCACCCAAUGGUUCCAUAGCUGAUGAGUCUUUUGUGCCAUCCUCUGGAGAACACCGACUCCCACCAUCAUAAAAGAAGGCAGAAUGUUAAUUUGUUUAAUGUGAUAGAAUCACAGACUUGUAGUGUUGGAAGGGAUCACUAGGGUCAUCCAGUCUAACCCCCUGCAAUGCAGGAAUGUUUUGCUCAAUGUGCUGCUCAAACCCGCUACUCUGAGAUUAAGAGUCUCUUCCUCUACCAACUGAGCUAUCCCAGAUGUAUUAGCCUAAAUUGCGGUAAGCUUUUUUAGAGUUUCUUGGCAACCAGAGUAACUUAAAACAAAGAAUCAGCAGAAAUUAUUGUGGCUUAUUUCUCUAGAAGUCUCCAGACCGCUAAAAUAUAUAUCCAAAGUAUAUAUUGUAUAUUCCUGGCUUCUAAAUUUAAUGCCAUGUCAUGGCGGAGGAGGAAAAGCUGCAUAAUGAGUGGGCAGGGUCUGUUUCCUCAGCUUCUUAAAACUGACAGCAAAUUGGAAAACCUCUCAAACAACGUUGCUUCUUGAACAUUUGGUAGCCGGCUUGAAAGAUUUCAAAACUUUGUGGACUUGGCUUAUAGAAGGUGGGACACACUCACUGAACAGCAACCAUGGCUAGAAACCACUGGCUAAUAUCCUGGUCUCAUGAGCUUAUUUAUACUCAUCCUGAGGGAAAAAUACUUUGGAUAAUUCUAGCUUGUUAUCCCUUAUUAGCAGCUUCGCUUGGGGGCUCCUUAACAGGGUGUGUUGGGUAAUGACACCCCCCUCCGCUUUGUUCACAUGGCUGUUGUACCUCAGAUGCUGUUCUAGCAUGAAAACAACUUCGUGAGUGAAAUUCCAACUUGGGUUUUUGCCUCAGACCCUUAACACAGCCUGUUUGGAACUUGCACACACUAAAAAGCAUCUUUUGUCUAGUGCUCCCUAGAGAUGUUUCACUGUGUACUCUUCCGAUAGGAAGGUAGCAACCUGCCUAAUACCAGGUCAAACCAUUGGUCGAUGCAGCCCAGUAUUGUUUACUCUAAAGGUGGGGAAUCUCCAGCCCAUAGGCUAAUCUCGGCCCGCAAGGCCUUUCCCCACAAAUCAUGCCCACCUGUCAAUCAGCCGACAUCACUAAUUAAUGAGCAGCAGGGUGGAGUUCAGUUCUGGCUUGGUUGUGCAGACAGGCACUUGCAGCCAAAACAGGAUUUAUAUCUCCUCCACCCCUCCAUCAGCUGAACAGCAGAGCCUAAAUCCUUCUACUUGGAACAGGUGUAUGUAGUCAAGGCAAGCAGAAAGUAGUGUUUCAUAAGCAAAGGCAGAGUGCUGGUGAAGUCCCCUCCACUGGCUUUCCUUGCAAAACACACCUUUCUUUCUAGUGAGUGGAUCCUCCUUUCGAGGAGGGGAAUAGAAGCUGCUUCCAAUUGCACUUUUCAGCCUUAAGACUGUGUUAAAGCACUUGCCUCUGAAAGUCUCCCCAUCUUCUUAUUGUAAACCCCCAACAUAGGGUUUGAAGGGGAGCCACAUGAAGGCUUCCAAAGCCAUGCCUGUCUGCCAUGUGACAUUGUGUGAUGGGUGGAUCAGUAGCCCGGUCCACCUGUCAAACUUGUCCCAUGAGGCCAAUCUCAUUGGCCUCUGUUUCCUCACUCUGUUCUACUCUUGACUGGCAGCAGCUCUCCAGUGUUUUGGGUUGAGAAGGGCCUUAAGAUCCCUGGCAUUCCUCGUAAAAGGCGUGUGCCCCACCACCACAGAGUGAGGAUCCCUGCAGUGGCUCUUUUAAGAAGGUUGGCAUUGGUGGUGAAGUGGGCCGCCCCAUGAUGCCAGGGGGCUCCCAACAGGUGGGGUUUUCUCUGUUCCCUGGGGACUGUGGCAGGCACUAUCUGGAGCAGUUGGCUUGUUUUGUCUUUUUUUUCCCUUUUCUUUCCCUUCUUGUGUUGCUGAAUGAGGUCUCAUUGUUGUAUGUGCUGGUCUGUGGCUGUCAGGACCUCCCUAGGAGGGGUCUCUAGUGUUCUGCACCUUUUAAAUCUCGUUGGCUCAUCUCCACUGCCGUGGGUUUGAGAGAGCUGCCAAUGCUGACAGAAAAUACCCAAAGUUGUUGCCCUCUCAACCACUGAGAUCUUUCCAUCUUUGCCUCCCUGUCCUGUAUUCCCCACCUCUCUUGGACGUGCUGUUGUUUGCAGCCUCUGACUGAGGAGGCCAAGCGAGGAGGGUCUGCAGCUGCAGCAUUCUGUGGUUUUCUGGGGGCCUCUUGGUGUUCAAAAUGACCCCCGCUGUAUUGACUGGCGGUUGCAAGGUCUCCGACCCUGUACUUGGGAUCUGAGCUGUCUGGUAUGGAUUCUUUUAUUUUUAUUUUUAUUAUUAUGGUGACUGCUUGUGCAAAAACUUUCUCAAGACCCUGGAUUUGGAUCCUGGACACUUGAGUUUCAGUGUCAAUUUUGGAAGGGCCACUGGAGUCUCCUGUGUUUACUGAUGGGAUGGUAGGUGGGGGCAUCUUUCUCAAUGGGUGCCAGUUCUAAGCCAAUCCCCCUCCCUCUCACCUCACCCUUACUAAAAGUCACCAGAGCAGGAUUCCAUUGAACUUUUAUUCUGAGAUGGGUCAUGUUUGUAUUUCAGCCCCCCACCCCACCCUCUGCCUUUUGGGUGCAGCUCUGGAGGCCCAACUUAAAAGCCACGCUGGGGCAGGAAAGGGAAUAGCUGAUUCCUGUAGUUUCAAUACUCAUCCCUUUUUAAUCUUGAAGCUGUUGUUAAGGUCUGCUUCUUGCCUGGAACUGUAUGUAUCCGGGCAGGCAAGACUCAGGGACAAGAACCCACAACUGAAAAAGACUGUGUAGCCAUGGGUUGUCUGUUGGGAAGACUCUUGGUUUGUCUUUCUUUUUAAAUUAGUUGGAGCUGGCUAGGAGACAUCUGGGUAGCUUCAGGGCAAACAGAAUCCCAUGAAGCUCAGACUCUAAGCUACAAGCUUUGUCCAUAAAGAGCCUAAGUAGAUCCCAGCACUAGCAGGACACUGAUGCCUCUUCCUUCCCCAGCAUGUCGGCAGAUCCAUGUCUGCUCCAUAGUAUAUGCAGUAGGGCACUUCUCUUGAUGACCACCAUCUCUGCCUGCCCCCUUCAGCUGAUAUGCUCACCAUGUAGCUACUGGCUGCUGCUGCUGCUGCUGCUGCUAUGGUGGUGUGCGGCUGGCUCUGGCUCUGCUUGCACUGCUGAUGCCAUUCACUCUCUUACACCGCCUACUUGUGCCUAUAGGCGCUUAGCUCUGCCUUUGCCUUAGCUGCUCUUGUGCUCAGCACCCUUCUUUUGGCCUGGGCAUGCAUUGUCAAGCUUGCUUCUUCUCUGCACAGGUGGACGGGUGAAGACGUGGAAACGGCGCUGGUUCAUCUUGACGGACAACUGCCUUUACUACUUUGAGUACACCACGGACAAGGAGCCACGAGGCAUCAUUCCCUUGGAGAAUCUGAGUAUCCGUGAGGUUGAAGAUUCCAAGAAG